rnacentral:rRNA from 1 species
CUACGGGUUGCUGCAGUCGAGAAUAUUCGACAAUGGGUGAAACCCUGAUCGAGCGACGCCGCGUGGAGGAAGAAGGCCUUUGGGUCGUAAACUCCUUUUGCUAGGGAAAAAUUUUGAUUGUACCUAGAGAAUAAGAGGUUGCUAACUCUGUGCCAGCAGCAGCGGUAAUACAGAGACCUCAAGCGUUAUCCGGAAUUACUGGGCGUAAAGCGCGAGCAGGCGGUUGUGUUAGUCUGGCGUUAAAUUCCGAGGCCUAACUUCGGAACUGCGUUGGAAACGGCACGGCUAGAACAGGUAAGAGGUAGGCGGAACGUGCAGUGUAGGGGUGAAAUCCACUGAUAUUGCACGGAACACCAAAAGCGAAGGCAGCCUACUAGUGCUUUGUUGACGGUCAAUCGCGAAAGCGUGGGGAUCAAAAAGGAUUAGAUACCCUAGUAGUC